rnacentral:rRNA from 1 species
AACUGCGAAUGGCUCAUUAAAUCAGUUAUCGUUCAUUUGAUAGUACCUUACUACAUGGAUACCUGUGGUAAUUCUAGAGCUAAUACAUGCUGCAAACCCCGACUUCGGAAGGGGUGUAUUUAUUAGAUAAAAAACCAACGCCCUUCGGGGCUCCUUGGUGAUUCAUGAUAACUUAACGAAUCGCAUGGCCUUGCGCCGGCGAUGGUUCAUUCAAAUUUCUGCCCUAUCAACUUUCGAUGGUAGGAUAGUGGCCUACCAUGGUGGCAACGGGUAACGGGGAAUUAGGGUUCGAUUCCGGAGAGGGAGCCUGAGAAACGGCUACCACAUCCAAGGAAGGCAGCAGGCGCGCAAAUUACCCAAUCCCGAUCCGGGGAGGUAGUGACAAUAAAUACUGAUACAGGGCCCUUUUGGGUCUUGUAAUUGGAAUGAGUACAAUCUAAAUCCCUUAACGAGGAACAAUUGGAGGGCAAGUCUGGUGCCAGCAGCCGCGGUAAUUCCAGCUCCAAUAGCGUAUAUUAAAGUUGUUGCAGUUAAAAAGCUCGUAGUUGAACCUUGGGCCUGGCUGGCCGGUCCGCCUCACCGCGAGUACUGGUCCGGCUGGGCCUUUCCUUCUGGGGAACCCCAUGGCCUUCACUGGCCGUGGCGGGGAACCAGGACUUUUACUGUGAAAAAAUUAGAGUGUUCAAAGCAGGCCUUUGCUCGAAUACAUUAGCAUGGAAUAAUAGAAUAGGACGUGCGGUUCUAUUUUGUUGGUUUCUAGGACCGCCGUAAUGAUUAAUAGGGAUAGUCGGGGGCGUCAGUAUUCAGCUGUCAGAGGUGAAAUUCUUGGAUUUGCUGAAGACUAACUACUGCGAAAGCAUUCGCCAAGGAUGUUUUCAUUAAUCAGGGAACGAAAGUUAGGGGAUCGAAGACGAUUUAGGGACGCCUUCCCGGCGCCACCCCGGUGGGAACCAAGUGAAUUUGGGACCGCCGGGCUCCGACGCCGGGGAUGGUAUUUGGUCGUCAACAGUAAGCUGAAAAUGCCUUGCUAGUCUCCGCUGCGGCGGGGGCGACACCGUCAAAUUGCGGGGACCUCCUAAAGCCUGGACUACCAAGCCGACGCCGAAAGGCGCCGGUGGCCGGGGUAAUGACCUAGGGUAUGGUAACAACGUUCAGGAUGUGCCAAUGGACAAUCCGCAGCCAAGCGCUACCGCCCUUCCGGGGGCCACGCGUGCAGUUCACAGACUAGAUGUCGGUGGGGGAUCCGUCCCCUAAGAUAUAGUCGAGGCCCGGAGCGAAAGCCCGGGAGAUCUCCGCAGAUACCGUCGUAGUCUUAACCAUAAACUAUGCCGACUAGGGAUCGGACGGUGUUUCUAUGAUGACCCGUUCGGCACCUUACGAGAAAUCAAAGUU